UACAGAGGUCUCGAGCGUUGUUCGGAUUCAUUGGGCGUAAAGGGUGCGUAGGCGGCGGGGUAAGUCGGAUGUGAAAUCCCGGGGCUCAACCCCGGAACUGCAUUCGAUACUGCCUUGCUAGAGUACUGGAGAGGAGACUGGAAUUUACGGUGUAGCAGUGAAAUGCGUAGAUAUCGUAAGGAAGACCAGUGGCGAAGGCGAGUCUCUGGACAGUUACUGACGCUGAGGCACGAAGGCCAGGGGAGCAAACGGG
rnacentral:rRNA from 1 species